rnacentral:lncRNA from 1 species
UUGAGAGAAUAACUAAUUCCAUAAUUCCAAAAUAUGUGCAUGGAGACUUUCUGGGUUGUUGGCUGCUAUUAAACUAUAACAAACAAGUGAAAUUUCUGAGAUUUUUAGUGUGAAAGCAAUAAAUUAGUGUUGGCUUGUUUAAGAGAUUUUAAAUGGAAAUUGGACUGAAUUUCUUUCUAAUUGGAUUAAUUGAUGUUCG